CUGACGUCUAUGUACUGCGCGGCGCAGCUAUGAGUUAGCUAAGCUAACGGUCGAAAACCCGCGUUUCGGGUCGUGAACUGUAUUAAAUCUUUAGUUCAUUUUAAAAUCUACCUCAGCAUUUUUGUAGUAUCUUUGUAAAAACUGAACGUUUACUUCUCCUUUCCCUUGGGUUGACAUCGUGCCAGGCAGCGACAGAAAAACAACAUCGAAGAAGUAAAAACAGCCUUAAAUAGAAAAUGAGGGCUUGACAGACUGCUGCUUGAGCCAGCUAGAAAAUUAGCUAUUUCUUUCUUUUUACAGUUGCUGGGGAAGAAAAACAUGACAACUCUUACAAGGCAAGACCUCAAUUUUGGACAAGUGGUUGCUGACAUCCUGUGUGAGUUCCUGGAGGUCGCUAUUCAUCUCAUCCUGUAUGUCCGUGAAGUUUAUCCCUCUGGAAUAUUUCAGAAGAAAAAGAAAUACAACGUACCUGUGCAGAUGUCAUGUCACCCAGAGCUGAAUCAGUAUAUCCAGGAUACACUACACUGUGUAAAGCCGCUCAUUGAGAAGAACGAUGCAGAGAAGGUGGUGGUGGUCAUCAUGGACAAAGAGCAUCAUCCAGUAGAGAGAUUUGUGUUUGAGAUUUCCCAACCUCCACUGCUGUCCAUCAGCUCUGACACAUUGCUGUCACAUGUGGAGCAGCUGUUGAGGGCGUUCAUCCUGAAGAUCAGUGUGUGUGAUGCUGUUUUAAAUAAUAACCCACCAGCAGGAAGUGAGAUCCAAUCAAGAUUCAAGACGCAUGAGGAGACGCAUUCAAAUGCCAGGGUGUUCGUUUACAGUAUUAGUACAUACCAGAGACGCCGCCACACGCAACAUGGAGAAGGUCCAGGUCAUCAAGGAUUUCCCAUGGAUAGUUGCUGAUGAGCAGGAAGUCCACAUGCAGGAGCCCAGACUCAUCCCACUGAAGACCAUGACGUCUGACAUAGUGAAAAUGCAGCUCUAUGUGGAAGAGAGAGCCCAGAAAACAUAGCCCCCCCCCCGCAGGAAGUCUGCAACAACGCUGAAUCAUGAUCGAAGUACAAAAUGCAGCCUGCCAGAGCCGCAACAGUCAGAAAGAAAGAUGAGUUUUACUGAACACAUGAGAUUAUAAAGAGUGAGAUGUUCCUCAUGGAAUCUGUUUGUGAGGUUCAUACUGUGCGUGAUGCUGCAGUUUGGGCUGGACUGUUUCAUCUGGCUGACACCUGUUGUCUGCCUAUGGUUUAAACACAUCCCGUACACGUAUACAAUGAAUAUGGUUCUAUUUUUAUUGCCAUGUAUUGUGCUUUAUUGUUUUGAAUGCAGAUCUUUAGAGUAACAUGAUCAUCAAAAUCAUAAUGUGGUUGUUGCACCGUGACAAUAAAAUUACAGGUGAAACAGAAAAGUAGAUCCUUUUUAACAAUAUAUAAUAUGAACCAGCAGCAGCUUCAGUCUACAGACUGCUUGUGACAGUUUAACUGAAUUUACUGUAAAAAUAUUCCCUCGCUCUGUUUGAAGGAUGGUCUCUUAACCGGCUGAGCCAUAGCCGUUCUGUGCAUGGUGUCUCCAGUAACCAUUGGUAAUGUUUCCUCCCACUGUUAUGUGACAAAUGCAAAGUUGGGAUUUGCAUUUGAUUAUUACUGCUGGUAACAUUGUGAAUUAACAUGUAAAAAAAGUUAUUAAAUUGUCAUAAAACUUUUUUUAAAGCAGCAGCACGAGAAAAUUCUGUCAUAGUGUGUACAAAGAUGUUAGUAGAAUAACCCGUGGUAAUAAGCUUCAUUCAUUCAUGUAUAUGAAAUAAUGCUAAUGCUCAUGCUAACUGUGAAAAAUCUGCAAACAUAAAAUGCAUCCUCUUUUGUUCUUGGAAAGGAACUGGCAGACACUGGGUGUUCAGAACAGAAUGAACCUUUUUAAAGACGUUAGAAGUGACAUGAAAAACUCAACAAUGGCUCUGCUGUGAGGUUGUGUGCUGGUACAACGUGGCUCUUUGUCUUCGUAGGUAAACUAUAACCGGUUCUCUCACACAUCAUGUCACUGCUCAGGGUCGUAUCGGAGUGCGAGUGAACGUCUUAAAGAAAUACGCAGCAUGAAAUCUGCAAAUCUGUCUCUCCAGAUUUUGAAAUUUAAAAGAACUUGUUUUUCAAUAUUCACAAAUUCAGAAUGAAAAACUCACUCCGCAAUUGACCAGUGGAGCGUAACUUGAUUGGCUGGAUGUUGGUUCAGUUUGAGACAGAAUCGAUUGCUUAUCCCAGAAGAGUUUUUAACAACUUGACAGGAACUUGAACAUGUGGGAUUUGAAUUUUUGAAAGCGGUGAAAUUAGUUAUUGAAAUUUUUAAAGAGUUGAAUUCAGAGAAAAAAAAAAUUCAGAUACAAAAAUUGAAUACCAUGAAAAAAUUCACAGGCUUUUAAAUGUCAAACUCUGCUGAGACAGAUUUGCUUUCAUACCCACAUAAACAGGAAAGUAGAACACUUUUCUGCGGUAUCAGCACAUGGCAAUGAGCUCCAUCAAAAGGAUUUAAUACCCAGUUACAAGUUUGUAGGAAAUAAAAUCUUUCGUGUGUUGGAUUCACAAUAACAUAAUGAAAUCAGUGUUGCAGCAGGAAACAAAGCAGCCGUCGGGGAUUCAGAAACUGACACCAGACUGAUGAACGGGACUUUCGAUGCUCAGUCAUCUGCACCACUUACUCCUGCACCGCCGGAUCUUCCAAAAACCACAAAGGAAGAAUGACGCUAGUGAUCCUAAAACCAAUGACACCAGUAAGUCAAAACCUACACAGAAGCAGGGAGUGGCGACCAUGACAACGGUGGAGUUUGUUUGAUAUAGAAGUAUUAUUCUUGCUAUUCUAUAAAUGUAUGUACAGUUAGAUGUAAGUUUUGUAAGACACAAUUUGAUUCUUUUUAUUUUUU